GUAAGGAUUCAAAUCUCGGCAGGAUGUUCCAAGGGACAGCAGGAUAGGGUACCUCUCAUGUGUCAGGAUAGAAUCAUCCCACCAUCAUCUUAGCUUUCUGAUCAACAUAUCUUGGAACAUCUCUUGUCCCAAGUGUCAUGAUGGGAUGGUUCUCAUUCCAUGAGAAAAUUGAGACAACUCCAUCCCAUGAAAUUUAUAAUAUUUGUUUGUAGAGGC
rnacentral:lncRNA from 1 species